GCGAGGGUGGCGGAAUUGGUAGACGCGCUAGCUUCAGGUGUUAGUGUCCUAACGGACGUGGGGGUUCAAGUCCCCCCCCUUCGCACCA
rnacentral:tRNA from 1 species